CAUAGAAAGCACAGGUGUGUCAGGAGAAGGAAAGCAAAAGCAUUAUUAUCAUGUACUUGGGAUCAUAUUUGCUCCCAUCCAGACUACAAAAGAAGUACUGAACAGUUAAAGUGAGAGGACUGGAACAUUUUUCUGGACAACAUUCCAAUCAAAACACCUCUUCACAUAAGAAAGGGAAGGAAGGACAUGGGAAUUCUGUGAUGGGAAUUCUACAAACCCUAACAAAUUAUCAGUCAUUCUACUAACUGCUCUGCAGAUUGUGCUUUCCACACAAUUGUCCACAGCCAGAUGUCCAAGACAGAGGUUUGGCAAGGAAGUAUUUUGUGAAUACAGACCAGCAUCGGUUUGAAUAAUGACAGACACAGGAGUUCCUAAACUUUGUUAGGUGAAGGCUGGCCAAAAUUGUGGCUUCAACAGAACUCUCACACUUCCUCUUUUAAAAACAGAUGUAAUUUCAGAGAAAUCAACAUUUUUCAGCCCUCCGGCCUUGAAGAAGUCACUGAAAUAUAUAAUUACACACUAUGGGCAUCAGCAAAUAACUGGCCAAAAACAAGUAACAGUAAAGCAGCAGUAUAGCUUCACAGCAAGUAUAGGCACACAAAGCUCUUUACAGAGGUCUAAGAGCAUGUCCUCCAGGCUGGAGAAGAAGCUGUGCCAGAUCCAAAAGAAGAUGCAUAAGGAUUCUGCAGCAACUCAUCAUAUGGGGAAUCAACUGCCUCCAUAUUUACACAAGACACCUGGAAAAACAUGCUGCUGACUUCUAAAGGCUAUGAGCUACUCUUGAAAUGGUUUUUCACUGCAUGUCAUGCCCAUUUAAUGUAUCAUUAAAGAGAUUACAGAACUAGAA